AGAACGAACGCUGGCGGCAUGCCUAACACAUGCAAGUCGAACGAGACCUUCGGGUCUAGUGGCGCACGGGUGCGUAACGCGUGGGAAUCUGCCCUUAGGUACGGAACAACUCAGGGAAACUUGUGCUAAUACCGUAUGAUGUCGAGAGACCAAAGAUUUAUCGCCUAGGGAUGAGCCCGCGUAGGAUUAGCUAGUUGGUGGGGUAAAGGCCUACCAAGGCUACGAUCCUUAGCUGGUCUGAGAGGAUGAUCAGCCACACUGGGACUGAGACACGGCCCAGACUCCUACGGGAGGCAGCAGUGGGGAAUAUUGGACAAUGGGCGAAAGCCUGAUCCAGCAAUGCCGCGUGAGUGAAGAAGGCCUUCGGGUUGUAAAGCUCUUUACCCGGGAAGAUAAUGACUGUACCGGGAGAAUAAGCCCGGCUAACUCCGCGCCAGCAGCCGC
rnacentral:rRNA from 1 species